rnacentral:rRNA from 1 species
GGGCCAGACUCCUACGGGAGGCAGCAGUGGGGGAUAUUGCACAAUGGGGGAAACCCUGAUGCAGCAACGCCGCGUGAGUGAAGAAGUAUUUCGGUCUGUAAAGCUCUAUCAGCAGGGAAGAGAAUGACGGUACCUGACUAAGAAGCCCCGGCUAACUACGUGCCAGCAGCCGCGGUAAUACGUAGGGGGCGAGCGUUAUCCGGAUUUACUGGGUGUAAAGGGAGCGUAGACGGUUACGCAAGUCUGAAGUGAAAGGCGGGGGCCCAACCCCCGGACUGCUUUGGAAACUGUGAAACUGGAGUGCAGGAGAGGUAAGUGGAAUUCCUAGUGUAGCGGUGAAAUGCGUAGAUAUUAGGAGGAACACCAGUGGCGAAGGCGGCUUACUGGACUGUAACUGACGUUGAGGCUCGAAAGCGUGGGGAGCAAACAGGAUUAGAUACCCCUGUACG